ACUUUAAUCGAUUUGAUUGACACUUGCUACGAUUCAACCUUAGGCGUUUUUUGACUGUUGUUGCAUUGGUUUUGUAACGUUACCCUUCUGACAGAUUUCACAUUCCGAUCUGAUUGUGUUUGCUUUGCCACAGCCAAAACAGCUAUACGAAUUUAAUUUAGGCUUUUCUUUACACAAUCUAAAAUUAUGAUUUGGUUUACCACAUUUGUAACAAACUCCACGAUGUGGUUUCGAAAACUUCGUGUCCGAAAACCUUGGUUGCUGUUUUCGCUGUGAAAAGGAACUAUCCGACUUGGUCGCGAAGCUUGAGCUUUGUUUAGCAGCGAUGGCAUUCACCUGAGGUUGCUUGGCACUGGAGCCUUUAUAAACAUGAUCACGACAAAGUGUAUGCUCGCUGACCUUGGGCGGUUCUACAAAUAAUUUCGCCCUUUGCUGUGAAAACUCAACCUUGCGACAAUAAGCCUUCAGUUCGGCGACCGACUUAAUAUCUACCAAUGCCAACUGCUGAGUAAAAUGUGGGCGAAUGUUGUGCAACAAGAUGUCCAGUUUCGCCUCCUCCGAACUAUUGCCGGAGACCAAAGGAUUUGGAUUUGAAACCUCUGCGCUGCCGCUGGGUGCUGCUGGACUUGAACCUGGACCCUCAAUCUUCGUCAAUAAACUCUCAAGCUUGGAUUGCAAACUAGUCUUCAGUUCUAGCAAUGUCUGGUUGCGUUCCGGCUGAACCCUAGCCAGACGGUGAUAAAUAUGGUAGCCGAGGGCUUUAGCGCGACUUAAAGAAUACCUCUCCUUUGUCUCACAAUAUUUGUCAACAAUAGAAGCCAAAUCGAUCACUUUCUCCGAGACAAUGCCUAGCUCCGACUCCGCUGACAGUUCAGUCUCCACUAUGUCCUCGCUAGGCGCUUCUAAAAUAAGAGACCUAAGUUGCUUUCUCAAAGCGUCAACCGUGGUUGCAGGCGUUUCCGACCGAAUUUGAACCUCAUAAAUCAACUCAUCCUUCAAAAGACUGUGAAAUUGAAUGCUGCGCUCCAUUUUUAACUAGUGUAUAAACUACUGUAUUGAAAAUUCUGGUAUUAACAAUAUGUAUUGUAUGUAUGACUGUAUCACUAUGUUGUUUUCUAACAAGAUUAAAUAAUAUUAAAUAG